rnacentral:rRNA from 1 species
GAGACCUACGGGGGGCAGCAGUGAGGAAUAUUGGUCAAUGGCCGGAAGGCUGAACCAGCCAAGCCGCGUGAAGGACGAAGGUGACAAGCAUUGUAAACUUCUUUUGUCAAGGGACAAAAUCAGGCUCGAGAGCCUGACCGAGGGUACUUGAAGAAAAAGCAUCGGCUAACUCCGUGCCAGCAGCCGCGGUAAUACGGAGGAUGCGAGCGUUAUCAGGAUUUAUUGGGUUUAAAGGGUGCGUAGGCGGAGUGUUAAGUCAGCGGUAAAAUCCCGGGGCUCAACAC